UUUCUUUUCUUUCUCUAUCUCGCUACUCUCGCUAUAUAUAUAUAUAUAUUAUUUACACUCCAACAAUAACAAAACUCUGGCUCGUUUUAAGUGUUUUAACUCCCGAUCACCGCUACCCUUUCCGAUUGAUCUGGAGCCCCAUAACGCAUGUCAAGGCUCUGCCCGACUAAGUUCCUUGGGGUUCGGUCUCAUGACAUAGGGAUAAGGUUGAAUUAGGGGUACUAUACUUAACACGAGUGCAUUAUAUAUUUUUAAAAUAGCUCAGAAGUUAUACCCAAGAUUCUACCAGGAGGCUUUCUAGUUGAACCCUAAAGUUACAAAGGCAUGUGGUGGAAGGAUGACACAGAGCCGCAUAAGAUGGGUGCGACAUGGUGGUGAUAGCAAAGAUUGCGGUUGUAUUUAUAGGCAAUGUAAUGGUUUGAAAUGAACAUAUAUGCUUUUCAGAUUAUUAUUCGAAUACAUGAAUAAUUAAUGUAUAUUUUUUACUUCGUAAACUUAUUAAAAUAAUUAAAUUAUAAAAAAGUUAGAAAUAUAAAGGUCGGAGAGUAGAUUGGUUAUUUUAUCUCUAAAAUGCAGGACAAUCUAUAACAUACACCAAACCAUAUAAAGGUCCAUGGUAGUAAACACCAAGCAAAAAAACAAUUUGUGUCAUAAAAAAAUACAUAAGAUUGGGCUAUGUUAACCUAGGUAUCGAUGUGGUUCCUAAGAAAAGAGGCGAGUGACUAACAACAAUGAUCAAGUGUCGCGUGGUUCUUGACCAUUCACGUAUGUUUUAGUCUUUUAAGUGGAGUUGAGCACAUAAUGAUGUGGACGACAAAGUUGUGCAAAAAUGGUAUUCCCCAAGUCCGAAUAUCCUUUAAUUGCUAAAAAAAUUGUGGCAUUUCCAACUGCCCAACAUAUAAAAUAAAGACACUAUAUGGUCAAAUAUAUUUGAAAUCACUACAAUGGAUUUAUAUAGUAUACUUGAGUUAUGGAUAGAAUUUAGAAAACUGACAUCAAAACGAUGUAGUUCAACCCUCAAAAUGACUUGUUUAUACCAAAUCAUAAAUGCCUCAGCAAGUUGCUAAGGGAACAAUACAACCAAACAAAAAGCACAGUCCCAACCAAAGGAAAACAAAAGGAACAUAAAGUGGCAGUACCACAUCAGACAAGCCAAGUUUGGUCCAGAUCUUCCAACAGGUAAGCAGGUAAGCAGGAGUAUCGCGUAAACCAUCCGCUUUUUCCAUUCCACGUCCAACGACAAGCAAUAAGAUAACAUAUGCAAUACCGAGGUAAACGUCUAUGGGACCUGCACUUUAACACAAACACAGAUGAACCACCAAACCGAGGGAUGUUAAACGGGUCGUGUUUGCGGGUUAACGGGUUAAACCCGACCCGAAUUGAAAUAAAAAAUUAUAGAUAAAUGAGUACAUGAAAAUCACAAAUAUUAAAGUAAAUUACAUUAUUUAACAUUGUUGACGUAAACUUUGAAAUAAAAAAAAACGAUCCAUCACUCGCGUAAAUAUUAAAUUACAUUGAACUGAAAAAAAGAAUACGAAAAAAUCACAAUAAGAUUUAUUUAUAUACCGCAUUUCACAUUUGUUGUUUCAUAGUAGGGCUAACAGAAAUGCACAACACAAGAAACCAAAAGGGCCUACUUUGAUAUGCUAUUCUUUUUCAGCUUCUGUCAAGCACUAGAUCUGGUAACUUGAUGUAAGGAUAGUAGAAGCCAGCUAUGGAGCACUGAAGGCAUAAAUAAAGUGGCUAUAAUAAAAGAAGAAAAUUAUAUUUUAUUUACUUGGGUUUAUCCCU
rnacentral:lncRNA from 1 species